rnacentral:rRNA from 1 species
GAUGAACGCUGGCGGCGUGCUUAACACAUGCAAGUCGAACGAAGCAUUUAGAACAGAUUAUUUCGGUAUGAAGUUCUUUAUGACUGAGUGGCGGACGGGUGAGUAACGCGUGGGUAACCUGCCUUGUACUGGGGGAUAGCAGCUGGAAACGGCUGGUGAUACCGUAUAAGCGCACGAUGUCGCAUGACAUAGUGUGAAAAACUCCGGUGGUAUAAGAUGGACCCGCGUCUGAUUAGCUAGUUGGUGAGAUAACAGCCCACCAAGGCGACGAUCAGUAGCCGACCUGGGAGGGUGACCGGCCACAUUGGGACUGAGACACGGCCCAGACUCCUACGGGAGGCAGCAGUGGGGAAUAUUGCACAAUGGAGGAAACUCUGAUGCAGCGACGCCGCGUGAGUGAAGAAGUAAUUCGUUAUGUAAAGCUCUAUCAGCAGGGAAGAUAGUGACGGUACCUGACUAAGAAGCUCCGGCUAAAUACGUGCCAGCCGCCGCGGUAA